GCGAAAGUGGCGGAACCUGGUAGACGCGCUGGAUUUAGGAUCCAGUCCCUCAAGGGGUGGGGGUUCAAAUCCCCCCUUUCGCA
rnacentral:tRNA from 1 species